AUACAUAUCUCAUUUCACCUUUCAUAUUGGACUAGCCAGACCUCCAUGAUCAAAACCUGUCUUUUAAGGAAAUCCUUCUCUCUGCAUGGCUGUGGUGGUAAGGCCCCAUGCUGGACAAUCAGAAUAGACACUGGCUGCGAACAACCAAGCUGCUCUCAUUCUGACUUCAAGAUCAAAGUUUUGUUAAAGAAACAAGUAUUCAGAGAUCUUGUUAGAGAAUGAAUGGCCCUGUGAAGCAGAACUCAGGCCUCCAGCGUCUGCUUGUCCGGACCUAAAGGUGUUUCCUGAGGGCCGAGGCCGCCCUGCCUCGCAGGUAUCUCCGCAGACCACAGCGACGCGCCCCGAAGGCGCGACGCUCCCUCCUGGCACGCACCCGGGCCGCGGGCUCCUCCGCUCCCCCUCCAACCCCAGCUCUGCUGCCCAGGCCGGAUGCUGAGUGAGAUAAUGUGAGGUUUGGGAGGCUAUUAUAAAUGCAAAUCUGGUCCUAGGAUAAUGCGUCUGAGUGGAACCAUACACUGGAAAGUUGAUUACAA